rnacentral:ncRNA from 1 species
UAAUAUAUUUGAGAUAUUUAAUAAUCCAUGUUGAUUUUUGAUUCUUCGAUGUCGGCUCUUCCUAUCAUUGCGAAGCAGAUUUCGCCAAGCGUUGGAUUGUUCACCCACUAAUAGGGAACGUGAGCUGGGUUCAGACCGUCGUGAGACAGGUU